rnacentral:rRNA from 1 species
GCAUAAUCAAUAGUUUUUUAAUUGGGAACUGGAAUGAAGGGUAGAAACUAGGAAGAAAGUUUUAUUUAAUAAGUUUGAAUUUAAAUUAGAAGUAAAAAUGCUUUUAUAAAUCUUUGGGACGAGAAGACCCUAGAAGCUUAAAAAUUUGUGAAAUUUUUAAUUGGGGUAAUAUUUGAAGAAGAUACAUUUUUAUAAAGUAAUUAAAUAUUAUAUAGGGAAGUUACUCUAGGGAUAACAGCGUUAUUUAAUUAACAAGUUCUUAUUAAUAAUUAAGUUUGCGACCUCGAUGUUGAAUUAAAU